ensembl:lncRNA
AGACUGGCAAAUGUGACACCCAUCUUCAAAAAGGGCUGGAAAGAUGAUCCUGGUAGCUACAGACCUAUCAGGCUCACCUCAGUACCGGGGAAGGUUAUGGAACAGAUAAUCUCAGGAGCCAUCAUGGGCCAGUUAAAGGCCAACCAGGGGAUCAGGCCCAGUCAGCAUGGGUUUACGAACGGUAGAUCCUGUUUGACAAACCUGACUUAAUUCUAUGACAAGAUGACCCGCUUAGCAGAUGAAGGUAGGCUGUCAAUGUGGUCUACCUGGACUUCAGUAAGGCCUUUGACACUGUCCCCCACAACAUCCUCAUGGAGAAGCUAGCUGCCCAUGGUUUGGAUGGGUGUAUGCUCCACUGGGUGAAACACUGGCUGGAUGGCCGGGCCCAAAGAGUUGUGGUCAAUGGAAUUAAAUCCAGCUGGCGGCCGGUCACGAUUGGUGUCCCCCAGGGUUCAGUACUGGGGCCACUUCUAUUUAACAUCUUUACUAACGGUCUUGACGAGGGGAUAGGGUGCACCCUUAGUACGUUUGCAGAUGACACCAAGUUGGGAGGGAGUGUUUAUCUGCCUGAGGGGAGAAAGGCACUACAGAGGGACCUGGACAGACUGGAUUGAUGGGCCAAGGCAAACUGUAUGAGUUUCAGUAGGGCAAGUGUUGGGUCCUGCAUUUUGGUCACAACAACCCCAGGCAACCCUACAGGCUUGGGGAGGAGUGGCUGGAAAGCUGCCUCAUGGAAAGGGACCUUGGAGUACUGAUGGAUAGUCGGCUGAAUAUGAGCCAGCAGUGUGCCCAGGUGGCCAAGAAAGCCACUGGCAUCCUGGCUUGUAUCAGGAAUGGUGUGGCAAGCAGGACUAGGGAAGUCAUCCUGCCCUGUACUCGGCAUUGGUGAGGCCUCACCUCGAGUACUGUGUUCAGUUUUGGGCACCUCAGUACAGAAAGGACAUUGAGGUGCUGGAGCAGGUCCAAAGAAGGGCAACAAGGCUUGUGAAGGUCUUGAAGAAUAUGCCCUAUGAGGAGUGACUGAAGGAACUGGGGCUGUUUAGUCUGGGGAAGAGGAGGCUGAGAGGAGACCUUAUUGCUCUCUUUCAAUACCUGAAAGGUGCUUACAGCAAGAGUGGGGCUGGUCUCUUCUCACUGGUGACAGGUGACAGGACGAGGGGAAAUGGCCUUAAGUUGUGCCAGGGUAAGUUUAGGUUGGAUAUCAGGAAACACUUCUUUACAGAAAGGGUUGUUAAGCACUGGAAUAGGGUCCCCAGGGAGGUGGUUGAGUCACCAUCCCUGGAUGUGUUUAAAAACUGUUUGGAUGUGGUGCUCAGGGACAUGAUUUAGUGGAGGGUUGUUAGAGUUAGGGUAGUAUGGCUAGGUUGUGGUUGCACUUGAUGAUCUUUGAGGUCUUUUCCAACCUAAGAAACUAUGAUUCUAUGAUUCAAAGUUUACAAAAUGAACACAAAUGCUUUCUCUGUCUACGUUCUUGUGGCUUAUUUAUUUAUUUUAAUGGCUUGACAGUAAGUUUUGAAGCUUUGCAGCAAGGCCUCAUCUUCAGUACUGGUUUUA